rnacentral:rRNA from 1 species
AUUGAACGCUGGCGGCAUGCUUUACACAUGCAAGUCGAACGGUAACAGGCCGCAAGGUGCUGACGAGUGGCGAACGGGUGAGUAAUGCAUCAGAACGUGCCCAGUCGUGGGGGAUAACUACUCGAAAGAGUAGCUAAUACCGCAUACGAUCUAUGGAUGAAAGCGGGGGACCGUAAGGCCUCGCGCGAUUGGAGCGGCCGAUGUCAGAUUAGGUAGUUGGUGGGGUAAAGGCUCACCAAGCCAACGAUCUGUAGCUGGUCUGAGAGGACGACCAGCCACACUGGGACUGAGACACGGCCCAGACUCCUACGGGAGGCAGCAGUGGGGAAUUUUGGACAAUGGGCGCAAGCCUGAUCCAGCAAUGCCGCGUGCAGGAAGAAGGCCUUCGGGUUGUAAACUGCUUUUGUACGGAACGAAACGGCUUUGGUUAAUACCCGGGGCUAAUGACGGUACCGUAAGAAUAAGCACCGGCUAACUACGU